GACGAACGCUGGCGGCGUGCUUAACACAUGCAAGUCGUACGGUCAGGCCCUUUCGUGGGUACACGAGUGGCGAACGGGUGCGUAACACGUGCGUAACCUGCCCCCACCUUUGGGAUAACGUUAGGAAACUGGUGCCAAUACUGGAUAUGUGCUACUUCUGCAUGGUGGGGGUUGGAAAGUUCCGGCGGUUGUUGCUGGACUCGCGGCCUAUCAGCUUGUUGGUGGGGUUGUGGCCUACCAAGGCGGCGGCGGGUAGCCGGCCUGCGAGGGUGACCGGCCACAUUGGGACUGAGAUACGGCCCAGACUCCUACGGGAGGCAGCAGUGGGGAAUAUUGCACAAUGGGCGCAAGCCUGAUGCAGCAACGCCGCGUGCGGGAUGACGGCCUUCGGGUUGUAAACCGCUUUCAGCAGGGACGAAGCUUUUUGUGACGGUACCUGCAGAAGAAGCACCGGCUAACUACGUG
rnacentral:rRNA from 1 species